CCUCACUUUCCUUUCUUGUUUGUGUAUGGUUUGGCGUUGCGUGUUUUGUAAAGUGGUUUGGUAGUGUUCUGCAUUUUCAAAGACAUUUUAGUGUUUAAAAUUAUUAAACUUGGUGUUAUAGAAGAAGGUUUUGCCCUUUAAAUAGGAUGGCUACAAAAGGAGUAUAAGCAUGUAUUUGUCGUGGUUGCUUUUCUAAAACGGGGCAAGGAAUAAGCUAAUUUACCCUGCCAAAGGAUCGCAGUAAUGCGGAAAUUUGGUUAAAAGCCUGCAAUCGAACAGAUCUGCUUACCAAAAAUUUGCAGAAUUAUAGACUCGAUUGCAUUUCGAUGAAAAGUAUAUUUCAAAAGAAGGAACACAAAAAACUUUGUUGGCUCAAGCACUACCCACAAUUUUUCUGAGUUCAAAGCGAUCUAUUGCAGAAGAAAAUAAAUUAGAGGAAAUGCCUUCUAAAAAUUGUUUAUUCGAUUAAAAAUAUUUUAUAGGAUGAAAUACACAAAUAGGGAUAUCACAUCAAAUAAAAAAUAUAAAAACCGUAAAUUUACCAUUUUGUCGCAUUUGUGAUACUUAAGUUUUUUGGUUUAUGUGUAAAUUAUUGUA